rnacentral:misc_RNA from 1 species
AAUAAGAGACAGGUGAGUCAUCGAAUCUUUGAACGCACAUUGCGCCCCUUGGUAUUCCAUGGGGCAUGCCUGUUCGAGCGUCAUCUACACCCUCAAGCACUGCUUGGUGAUGGGCGUCUGUCCCGCCUUCGCGCGCGGACUCGCCCCAAAGGCAUUGGCAGCGGUCCCGAUCGCCCUCUCGCGCAGCACAUUUGCGCUUCUCGAGGCGGCGGGUUCGCGUCCACGAAGCCCUUUUUACCACGUUUGACCUCGGAUCAGGUAGGGAUACCCGCUGAACUUAAGCAUAUCAAUAAGCGGAGG